rnacentral:rRNA from 1 species
UGGGGAAUAUUGCACAAUGGGCGAAAGCCUGACGCAGCGACGCCGCGUGAGGGAAGAAGGCCUUCGGGUUGUAAACCUCUUUCAGGAGGGACGAAGCCACUCGGGUUAAUAGCCCAGAGGGUGACGGUACCUCCAGAAGAAGCCCCGGCUAACUACGUGCCAGCAGCCGCGGUAAUACGUAGGGGGCAAGCGUUGUCCGGAUUUAUUGGGCGUAAAGAGCGUGUAGGCGGCUUCACAAGUCCGCUGUGAAAACUCGAGGCUCAACCUCGAGCUGUCGGUGGAAACUGUGUGGCUAGAGUCCGGAAGAGGAGAGUGGAAUUCCCGGUGUAGCGGUGAAAUGCGCAGAUAUCGGGAAGAACACCCGUGGCGAAGGCGGCUCUCUGGGACGGUACUGACGCUGAGACGCGAAAGCGUGGGGAGCGAACAGGAUUAGAUACCCGGGUAGUCC